rnacentral:rRNA from 1 species
AUACGGAGGGUGCAAGCGUUACUUGGAAUCACUGGGCGUAAAGCGCGCGCAGGCGGUUUGAUAAGUUGGAUGUGAAAUCCUAUGGCUCAACCAUAGAACUGCAUCCAAAACUGUCAAACUAGAGUCUGGGAGAGGAAGAUGGAAUUAGUUGUGUAGGGGUAAAAUCCGUAGAGAUAACUAGGAAUACCAAAAGCGAAGGCGAUCUUCUGGAACAGUACUGACGCUGAGGCGCGAAAGCGUGGGGAGCAAACAGGAUUAGAAACCCUAGUAGUCC